rnacentral:rRNA from 1 species
CUACGGGGUGCUCCAGCUGAGGAAAUUUUACAAUGCACGAAAGUGUGAUAAAAUAAACCAGAGUGUCACUCUUAGAGUGACUUUUGUUUGUUGUAAAAAGACAGACGAAUAAGGACUGGGUAAGAUCGGUGCCAGCCGCCGCGGUAAUACCGGCGGUCCGAGUUGCAUCCACAUUUAUUGGGUCUAAAACAUUCGUAGCUUGUUAUGUAAGUUUCUUGUGAAAUCUCGUGUCUCAAGCACGAGGCGUGCAAGAAGUACUGCAUGACUAGAGACCGGAAGACGCAAAGAGUAUAAUUGAGGUAAUGGUAAAAUAUGUUAAUCUCGAUUAGACUAACAAUGGCGAAAGCACUUUGCGAGUACGGAUCUGACAGUGAGGGAUGAGGGCCAGGGGCGCAAAACGGAUUAGAUACCCUAGUAGUC